rnacentral:rRNA from 1 species
UACGGAGGGUGCAAGCGUUAAUCGGAAUUACUGGGCGUAAAGGGCCCGUAGGCGGUUUGUCGCGUCGGGAGUGAAAACACCGGGCUUAACUCGGUGCUUGCUUUCGAUACGGGCAGACUGGAGGUAUGCAGGGGAGAACGGAAUUCCUGGUGUAGCGGUGAAAUGCGUAGAGAUCGGGAAGAACAUCAGUGGCGAAGGCGGUCUGCUGGGCCGUUGCUGACGCUGAGGCGCGACAGCGUGGGGAGCAAACAGG